ensembl:lncRNA
AGAGUCUGAGCACUAAACUGGUUGUGUAAUAUCCUUCCCUCAGUCUCUCAGCUUGCAUCAUCUUGGCCCAGGAUAAGACCUGGGUCAGGGAGAGAAGAAGAAAGAAGGAAAAGGAAAGGAGCAGAAGAAACCCCCAGGGAUGUCGGGAGCUGCUUUAGGCAUUACUGACAGAUUUGAAGAACACAAACAACGAAAAUUGAGACUCUCACCAGUCUACUUGGUGUUGUCUGGGAAGACCCAUAAUUAAGACAUUUCUAACACAUUUGCAUUCAAAGGAAGAAAUAAAGAAAUGCUGACAAGGCAUGCCAGUCUGAAUCCCUCGAGCAGUUGGCCUGUUUGACUUUGUGUGAUGGUGGGCCAACCUGUGUGCCUGCCGGCUCACACCACUGUAGCUCUUCAAACACAUUCUAUAGAUCUCGCUAAUAAAUUCCAUUUGGCUGCAACCCUUUCCCGGUUCCAGGCAGUCGCCUCUGAAGUGUAAGUGCAGCCUGUCUUUAAGCCAGGCUACUGCCACUUACUGGUGAUCUGUACCUCUUUGGAAAACUAAUCUACACUGCAUUUGAAGGCAGGAAGCAAGAGUUUGAAUGAAAAUGCAGUACCAUGGCUAGAGGACACAGCGCUCACACCUUCUGCGGCUCCAGAAUAAGUGCUAUGUUUUAAAAAUAUAUAUGUAUGUGUUGGCAACAUUGAAAAGGGGGCUAAAAAAACAUCCCCCACAGAAGUGAGAGCAGCAGCAAAAGAAACGUUAGCACCCUGCUGACGGGAACAAUAGAGCAUAUGGACAUCACACUGCGCUUGCCAAGCAGACGAGGGCAGGAUGAUCAAAAUGGAGUCAAUCUGCUUCUCUAAUAGCAGAAGAAUUGCCUGUGUGAACAAUGUCUCCAAGUGUGUUCCGAAGCUCUUUAAUUGCCUGAGAAAGGAGAGAAGGUUUGGUUCACAUUUUAGCCAAGCAUGCUCCUUCCCCGGGGCUUUUCUCUCAGGGCACGUGCCAUGAUGAGUCUCACAGGUGGCCACCAUCUGUGGACUUACACACCUGAGACUUGGCGUAAAACAGAACACACCCUGUGUGAGAACACAGGCUUCUCACCCCAGAAACCAUUCUUGACUGUCACCAGGGUAGAGC